AUUCAGCUAGUGACGAGUCCCAAAUAGGACGAAACACGCGUAUUGGAU
rnacentral:hammerhead_ribozyme from 1 species